rnacentral:tRNA from 1 species
GGGCCGUUAGCUCAGUUGGUAGAGCAACUGACUUUUAAUCAGUUGGCCGCAGGUUCGAAUCCUGCACGGCUCA